AUGAGGAGUCCGGAACGCGUCUGUAGGAUAUCGCUUUAACAUGUGGACAUUUGCGGGCCGAAGUGCGGUUUUUCCCCCUGCUAUACGAAGGACGGGAAUCUGGCAUUUUUCUCCACCAAGGUUCAUCGUGUUACCGUUCUUUAUACUUUCUUCGAGACACACACUCGCAUCCGCUGUAAAUCAUCAAACGUCCAAGUGGUUCCAUGGGUGUACUUACCGACAAAGACCCCCGUUCAGCUGAGGUAUUUCGGUGGGGGAAAUUGAGCCGUUUUACGGGCAGCAAACGAGGCCGACAGAAAACACCAACAGCAACAACAACAGUGGCGGCGGCAACGACAACGACAACGAUACGACAGGGACAGGGACAGCGUCAGCGACAGCAACAACAACAACAGCGGAUAGCAACAGAAGCAGCAUUCAACAGAACCGCAAAGCAGUAACAUCACCAGCAGCGACAGCACCAGCAGAUGGCGUUGAAGUUUAAAUCAGAGAUCCGUGGUACAAUGAAUUUUGAAACCCCAGAAUACGUUUCUCUGGUUUUUUUUUCGAAAACAAUAACAUAACUAAAUCACUAAACUGGAAUUGAUCGUAUUCUCUCGGCUUUUAUAAAGCGACUAUUGAAUAUGAAGAAAAAGGCGAAUCUUCCGUGUUGAUGUAAGGUUCA